rnacentral:rRNA from 1 species
GACGUAGGGGGCAAGCGUUGUCCGGAAUUAUUGGGCGUAAAGAGCGUGUAGGCGGUCCGGUAAGUCCGCUGUGAAAGUCCAGGGCUCAACCCUGGAAUGCCGGUGGAUACUGCCGGGCUAGAGUCCGGAAGAGGAGAGUGGAAUUCCUGGUGUAGCGGUGAAAUGCGCAGAUAUCAGGAGGAACACCGAUGGCGAAGGCAGCUCGCUGGGACGGUACUGACGCUGAGACGCGAAAGCGUGGGGAGCAAACCGG